GCUUGGCACGGUGGUGUGCACCUAUAGUCCCAGCUACUUGGUGUGGCUUGAGUUCUGGAGUUCUGGGCUGUAGUGUGCUAUGCCAAUGGAGUGUCUGCACAAAGUUCAGCAUCAAUAUGGUGAUCUCUCGGGAGAGAGGGACCACCAGUUGCCUAAGGAGAAGUGAACUGGCCCAGGUUGGAAAAGGAACAGAUCAAAACUCCUGUGCUGAUGAGUAGUGGUAUCUCACCCGUGAAUAGCUGCUGCACUCCAGCCUGGGCAAUAUAGUGAGAU
ensembl:misc_RNA Metazoa_SRP Metazoan signal recognition particle RNA